rnacentral:piRNA from 1 species
GAUCAGUCGACUGUAAUUAUUAGCACAA